rnacentral:lncRNA from 10 species
GUCUUGAGGAUUAGGUGAGAGUGUGAUAGAUGGGCUCCAGCAAGUCUCAAGCUGCAGUGCUUUAAAGUGAAUGAACUGCCACUUAAUGAGAACCUGCCCUCGUAGUGUAUUCCCUGACACACUUGGCCUCCUUCCUCUCAAGAAUCCUAGGAGAUAUUGAUGAGUGUAGCUACUCCAGCUACCUCUGUCAGUACCGCUGCAUCAACGAGCCAGGCCGUUUCUCCUGCCACUGCCCACAGGGUUACCAGCUGCUGGCCACACGCCUCUGCCAAGACAUUGAUGAGUGUGAGUCUGGUGCGCACCAGUGCUCCGAGGCCCAAACCUGUGUCAACUUCCAUGGGGGCUACCGCUGCGUGGACACCAACCGCUGCGUGGAGCCCUACAUCCAGGUCUCUGAGAACCGCUGUCUCUGCCCGGCCUCCAACCCUCUAUGUCGAGAGCAGCCUUCAUCCAUUGUGCACCGCUACAUGACCAUCACCUCGGAGCGGAGCGUGCCCGCUGACGUGUUCCAGAUCCAGGCGACCUCCGUCUACCCCGGUGCCUACAAUGCCUUUCAGAUCCGUGCUGGAAA